rnacentral:ncRNA from 1 species
UGGGCUGUAUCAAAAAUGGAACAGCACCAAUUCAACCUUUAUUUAUUAUAGCAUGUGAACAGGGUCUGCCUUGAUCCAAUUAGGACUAGGACAGAGGG